AUUUCAGAGGGUGAUACUGGCUCAAUAAUUCUCUAUGAAAAAUUACACAAAAACAGUCAUGAAGCUGCGUUUGACAGUUGCCUCCUUAGCUAAAAGACACAGCUCAAAUUUUCAGCCACUUUAGAAUUCAAGUAAUCCUUCUUUCUUUUAAUUACAGCACUGGAAUGGCUCUUAUUUCUGGAAGAAAAAGUGACUUUUUGUUUUUAUGGAUGCCGCACAUCAUGAAUGACACUCAUGUGCUGGUCCUUAUCACAGCCAGAGUGGCCUUGAAAUGUGCAAGCCAGGGGCCUGGUGGGAAAUUCACCAUUCUCUACUUCUUCUUCUGAACACUCCCUGGUUUCAUUUUUAGGAGGUAUCACAUUUUUCUAUGUUUUUAGCUGGACCUACUUAAAUUUUCUUAAUUUGAUGUUUCAGAGAACAAAGAACUAGUAAAUCUGUUCAUUGAGCAAUUUCUAAUUCAAACCCUGCACCCAGGAUUUAUAAGAUAUGUAGUCUCAUUCUCAUCUGGUCAGGACGAUUUAGACUGGAGCUAGUUGAAAUAAGGGAGAAAGUUCAUGUUUUUGUGGUAUGAAUUUUUGUGUGUGUGCCUAGCUUAGGAGUUUAUAACAAUUGUAAAAUUGGUCCUCUUGACUCUCCCAAGAGUAGCUAACAUGUGGAAAAUGUGGCCAAUUUUGUCUUGAGAUUAAUAUACCUUCCCCCUCAGUGUUCUGUUCGUUCUUUCGUCUUCAAACAAAUUAAAGCAUCAGUCUACCAGAGAGGGACUGUUUUCACUUUUAUGUGGCCUAUAGAAUCCUCAAAACUGACUUUACCUGUUAGUGCAGGGAUGGCUGGUUACUGUGACACCUGCAGAUGCCUUUCUUCCUGGGCACUUAGCAUCAAUCUGGGAAUUUUGUCACCCCAGUUACCCCAGAAUCUUUCCUUAUGACUGCAUUCUUACUAGCUGUAAGUAACUCUUUUACUCAACGGGGGAACAAGGGCCAGAUGGCAUGCAGACAUGUGCUUGAGACUGGAACUCUGCUGAGGCGUUUUGGACCCACAGGAACUGAAAUAGUUUGCCUUCAUUAUCUGGUAGACCUGCUCGAGUCUGUAGCCCCUGACAGAAACCACAAGACUGUACAAACUGGCAACUGCGGGUUUGUCUGUUCUCUAUUGAUUCUAUUUCUGGAAAAAAACACGAACCAAUGGCUGAGCCAUGUGACUGUACAACUGACCCAGUGCUCCCAUCAGAAGGGGGAUGGAGACCUUUUGCAGACAGGUCGUAAUGGGACCUAAACACUUUUCUGUUUGCUUCUCAACCAUGGCCUUUGAAAACUUUGACAUAGAAGUUUAACUCUUUGUAUUCUGGAAUGCGAACCCACUAGAGAAUCAAAAUAUUCCACAGCAUGAUAUUUACAUUUGGUCAUAUUGUGCCAAACAUCCAAUAAAAUGUAUAAUAAAAACUUUAUAUAACUUUGCUUAUAAGGUGUCUUUGUUCUUGCUUCCAACAUGAGAAUUACAUGACAACUCUACCCAAAGACUUCAAAAGAAAAUGAUACACACAUACUCUUCAAACUAUGAAACUGCAACUGCUUGAGUGUUUCCUUUUCUUGAGUUUUAGUAUUGGCACUGAAUACUAAUAUUCAAGUAAAUAGAAUGCAUGACUUCCCUGCAGUAUGGCCUAAUGAGAGAGUUCUUCUGGUCUUGGCUCUAACAAGCUAUCCUUAAUCUUCUUGUUCCUUCUCUUUACAUGGACCUGACCAAUUGAUCUCUAAGAUCUGUGCUAGUUCUAAGAGUCUGAAUGAAUAAAAGCCCCUGCUAACACCAGAGAGAUCCAGGUAGUAGAGAACACAUCCUAUUAAGCACACGCACAGGCGCGUGUACACG
rnacentral:lncRNA from 9 species